rnacentral:rRNA from 1 species
AGAGUUUGAUCCUGGAUCAGGAUGAACGCUAGCUACAGGCUUAACACAUGCAAGUCGAGGGGCAGCAUGAAAGUUUGCUUGCAAACUUUUGAUGGCGACCGGCGCACGGGUGAGUAACACGUAUCCAACCUGCCUCAUACUCGGGGAUAGCCUUUCGAAAGAAAGAUUAAUACCCGAUGUCAUAGUCCUACCGCAUGAUGGGACUAUUAAAGAAUUUCGGUAUGGGAUGGGGAUGCGUUCCAUUAGUUAGUUGGCGGGGUAACGGCCCACCAAGACAACGAUGGAUAGGGGUUCUGAGAGGAAGGUCCCCCACAUUGGAACUGAGACACGGUCCAAACUCCUACGGGAGGCAGCA